UACGAAGGGGGCUAGCGUUGCUCGGAAUCACUGGGCGUAAAGCGCACGUAGGCGGAUUCUUAAGUCAGGGGUGAAAUCCUGGAGCUCAACUCCAGAACUGCCUUUGAUACUGAGGGUCUUGAGUUCGGGAGAGGUGAGUGGAACUGCGAGUGUAGAGGUGAAAUUCGUAGAUAUUGGGAAGAACACCAGUGGCGAAGGCGGCUUACUGGUCCGGUUCUGACGCUGAGGCGCGAAAGCGUGGGGAGCAAACAGG
rnacentral:rRNA from 1 species